rnacentral:rRNA from 1 species
CUUAAAUUAUUAAUAGAUAUAGUCUUUAAACUUGAAGAAUUUGGCGGUGGUUUAGUCUUGUUAGAGGAACCUGUUCUUGGAUCGAUAUGCCACGUAGAAUUUUACUCAUUUUAUUAGUUUGUAUACCGUCAUUAUCAGAUAAUUUAUAGAGAAUGAAUUAUUGAAAUUUCUUAAUUAUAAAUAAAAUUAGAUCAAGGUGCAGCUUAUAAAUGAGCUAGAAUGGGUUACAAUAAAAUUUAUUUAUACGGAGUAAUAAUAGGAAGAUUAUGUUAUGAAAGCGGAUUUAAUUGUAACAAAGAUUUAAUAAGUCUUAAAGAUAUUAGCACUAAGCCAU